rnacentral:rRNA from 2 species
CUUGGCGACCAUAGCGUUGCGGACCCACCUGACUCCAUGCCGAACUCAGAAGUGAAACGCAGUAGCGCCGAUGGUAGUGUGGGGCUUCCCCAUGUGAGAGUAGGACAUCGCCAGGC